CCACCUCCCACCAACCGUCCCAUGCCACCCACUACCCCCCGUCUAUCUCAAAAAAAAAACCACGCAGCCAACCUCCUCUCCUCUCCCAACCCACUCGCCGCCGGCCUCCCUUCCACCUCCUCUCCUCCGUCCUUCCGCCCCUAUGCCCCCCGCCGCGUGCGCCCCGCCGGCGGCUGCGUGCCCGCCGCUCCCCGUCUCGCGCCGUUGCCCGCCUAUGCCGUCGGCAAGUCGCCCCCGCGCUCCACUCGACACACUCCGAUCCGGACAGCCGCUGCUAGCACUCCAACAGAUCUGCCCGGCUGGCCGGCGGAGGCAAAGCGGCGACCAUGGAGGAGGAGUUGCGCGUGUUGCUCCGCGACCUCGACGCGCUCAAGCAGCUCCCCGACCUGGCCUCCAUCGACCGGAUGCGAGAUCGCAUGGUGAAGAUGAUGGGCCCGUCCGGCGCCGCUGCCGCCACCCGAUCGAAGAUCAAGGACAUGCGCGGAGGUUGUGGACAGCAACCCCUACAGCAGGCUCAUGGCGCUGCAGCGGAUGGGGAUCGUCGACAACUACGAGCGCAUCCGCGACUACUUUGUCGCCAUUGUGGAGUUUGAUGUCAAUGCAGUAAUAGCCACAUAAUCAGAUAAUACAUGUACAAGGUUGGGGAGGCACGGUCAGAGUUGGUGUUCUGGUUCAGGUCGCCGGACCACGGAGAGAGGAGAGGUCGUCACGUUGAGCUCAUGGGGAUAGGGCAGCCACCAUUUGAUUGAUUGUCAUGUUUCUACGGCUUAGCGGAUUUAGCACUAUGGUAAUUUCUGAAAUUCUGAUUGAAGUAGUUUUUAGGUGACUAUGAUUUUGGGGUUGCUGACCCUUUUGACCUCAAGUACUACUACAAAGCAGAAUUUCUGAAUUUCUGAUAUGAUUAGUUUUUAGGUGACAAUGAUCCCUGUAAGUUACUUUGUAGUAGCUUUGUACAAGACCACUCGCAGCUAGACUUUGUGUUGUGGUAAGGACCUGACAACAGCUAAAAAACCUUUUUUGGGGAAUGCUUAGUGUGCCAAGAGAUGUUUUUUGUGGGAUGUGGGUGGACGCAACAGAUCGAAUUUGGUAGUGUUCGUCUUAUUUUACGUUUUAGUACUCAAUUGUCAGCAUAGCUCUCUAGUCUCUCUUGUUCGUCCAACUGCAAUUUCACAUAAAACGCAUAUGCAUAUUAUGUUGUUGUUCUCUGCAUGAAUGAAUUUGAUAUGCACUAUGUUUUUUGGCCAUGCAUUAUGCUGGUCUCAGCUGGAAAGAGUUUCUUACCAAAUCAUAUGGCCGCAAGCAACUAGGAGCAGUUCCUGCCUGAUGCCAGCUAGCAUGCAAUUUCACUCUGAUAGGAUAUAUGUACUCUGAUGUCAGCAUUAUGGAGUUCUUAAGUUCACAGGCGAAGUAGCCUGUAUACUCUGAUAGACAAAUGAGCUUGAGCGCUUUAUAGAUUUAUCAGCCCAAGAUGAGCAGCUCAUAUAUAGUACUCGUAAUAAUAGUUUGGCCAUAGGAUAUAUAUCAGAAUUCAGAGCACACAUCAAUUCUAUUAACUGUGUUGAUUAGCCAUCAAGAAGAUCAUACUACAAAUUAACCUGCUCGUUAAUUAAUGAAAUUAAGGUACAUAGUCAUGCAUGUGUCUCAACUCGUACGAACUCACUAGUCAUGCUCACUCCACUCUUCUCUCUCUACCAUGUAAUGGCACUGGCACUGAAAUUAUUCAAUCUCUGUAUAAAAGGACUCACCAGUAUAUGCCACAUUAAACUCCAACAGUAUAUAUGUGUACAGUAUACUACAGGUUUAGCAUAAAAAACAAAACUGCAUUCCAACAGCCUUCAGUAGGUUUCUUUCUACCUACCUCAAUUAACCUUUCAGUUAGUAUACAGCUGAUCAAUUUGCUCCUCUUCAGUACACCCACCAUGUAAUUAAUCAGUAGACUAUAGUUGCUGAGAAAUUAAACUAACCAAGGCUGUGUUUUUUAGAUCAUGAAGGAGAGAUGUAUAAGGCUGUACUUAUAUACUGAUAGCUAAUUAAGAAGCUGGGAAAUAUAUGCAAACAAAGAUAUAUGUCAAAAUCAGAGAUGAAAUUGGCCGGAUGAUUAGCCAGAGACCGAGUCUAGGUGCAGUGAUCUAAGCUGCCGGCAGGCCACUUGGCCGGUUGCAGUACUCGUUAAUUAGGCUCUACUGAAGAAGUGCACCUGUGGAGAGAUUCAGUUAUCCAAUGGUUAUCAAGCCAUAGAGAACAUACUGUCACUUCUACUCCCUUGUAGCGUGUCAGCGAUCUGCACUGAAGCAAGGGAUGCAACUCAGGCUGGUACUGACCAAACUGAAGAUAUAAGGCAGAACAGAAGAAGGGCGCCAAGGCGCCAGCGAGUGGGUGACGCGGCAGGAAUUGAUAAGGGCCAGCCUAUUAGUGAAUAGAGAAAGACCGCGAUCGACCACAACAAUGACACUGUUCACAGAAAUCUUGGAUUCAUAAAUGGGAGAAGCACAUAAGGGAGAAGAAGAUGAUUGCAAGGAUGGAGAGGGAGCAAAUCAUUUGGAGGGAUAGAAUGCCACAGUUUGGUGUUUUUAUGCAUUUUUGUUUGCUUUCAACUGUGUUUGCACUAGCAGGGAAUAAGUGAUUAGGCAAUAAGUGUAGAUGUGUGGAUAUGCUCUAAUGCUCCUGGUUUACUAUAAAUCUUCGAUUUGGAAUAAUAUGUAAUGCUGUUGGGUUAUUACAAAUCUGGGCUUGUUUUAGUUGUUAGAAUUGUAUGCAUAAAAUGGAAUUGAUGGAUUUUAUUUUUUUAA